AAGCCCAAGGACAGGUUGGUCCAGGCAGGCUCAGACCGGACCCCGUAUCUGUGGAGCUUGUCCCAGAGCCCACGAGGCGAGCAUCUUGUUCUUGAACUCCCGGGAUGUCAACAGGCUCUGUACGCGGAGCGAGACCCUGUGAGGCUGGUGCGAUUGGACAUCUUCGGGACCCUCAGCAAGUGUACGGACCUACGGGGAUCCCACUUGCGUCUGGAAAUCUAGCCGCCCAACCAGGGACACGUGAGGACCAAGGAAGGAUGCGCUUGGGGUCGAGGCUGCCGCGGGGUUCCCCAGAACCUCGGGCUCCUGCCAUGUGCCCCCACCGACGUGGAAGCCCAGCGCGCUGAGUGUGCCUUCUCAUGGACUCCCUCUCCAUGGACGCGGCCACUUCAACCUCCUCCCUCCAGAAGCUCAGCACCCGCCCUCCCCGCUGGCCCCUAACCUCAGCCCCUGAGCCCGAGCUUGGGACCCGGCCUGUGACCUGUGGCCCUGUGCGGAGACUGGGUGGAGGCUCCCUUCCUACAGGGCUCCUGAGCUCGCCUUCUGUCUCAUGACUCAGCUUGUCUAUGAAUGGUUUUUUUUUUUUUUUUUUUAUUUCUGCGUUAUCUGGUUUGUUUAUUUUUCUCUCUCUCCUGGAUGAUUUUCAUCUGCACGCAGACGUGUUCUAAUGUCUCCCUUCUGAAACUUAAAUAAAUACCUCGCUGUCUCAGAUCUACCGUGUCUCUGUUCAAAACAUCUUCAAAACCGACGACACCCGGGAUUUGCUUUCCAGUUCUGUUCUCCGGCCCGAGUUCCCCAGGAUGAGGCUGUGCCCCUCCCCUCUCCCCGUGGCCUGCUCCUACCGAGCCCACCAAGGCACCUACUUCUGCAAAUCCACACACGGGUGCUCCCCUCCAUCCCCCUUCUUCAGCCUCCACGAUGGGCCCAGCCAACCUCCCACGUGCCGGGAGCUGGGAGCGCUCUGCCCUUGGGUUCUGAAACGGCUUCCUUUCCUGUUGCCCCUUCCUGCUCACUGGCCAUCUCUUUCCAAUUGAUUCCACUGGUUCCUCCCGACUGGGACGAUCCUUGGGUCGUCUUCCUGUCUAGCUACAGCUCUCCAGGCGCCGUCGUCCACCUGAUAACCCCAGAUGUCACCCCAUGUCCCAGCCUCACUCACUGACAUCUGCCGUGUCUCUGCAGGGUGUCUGACGGGCAUUCCAAACCCCGAGCAUCCAGGGGAAUCACUGAGCUCCUCCAUCUCAAACCUCC
rnacentral:lncRNA from 1 species